GGGACACAGUUCCCUCGGGUGGCAGAUGGAAGGACCGCGGGGUGAUGCUGCACGGAUUCAUGACAUGAGGAGACGACUCAACCAGGGAAGAGUAAUACAGAAGUGGACCACGGUUGUGAGGAGGCUAUGGUGGCAGUGCUCUGCAGGGGAAGCAGAGCGCACAGGCAUGAGGCGAUGAUGGCCUCCUGGGACCGAUGCACGAGAGUCACCCGAGCAAAGCAUUUGCAUCCAAACGAUAAGGACAGUUUCUCUUCCCUGUUUUACACCUGGACACUGAAUACUCAGCGAUAGCACGGUGAAGAGAUGGUAGAGAGACGGGUACCAGAGUGGUGGGCUCCCAGGAGGAAGCAGCUGAUUUGUGGACAGGUCCCAGCAGCUCCUUACACAGCUCUCGGAGACGGUACUCAGAACCUACACACACACACACACACACACACACACACACACACACACACACACACACACACACACACACACACACACACACACACACACACACACACACACACACACACACACACACACACACACACACACAAUCAGAAUUUGUCAGCAGAAAUGUUGGUACUAAAUAAAUCUCAGGCUGUGCCAAGAAAGUUGUCUUUUUCUGAAUUGACCAUAAGUGCCCUGCCUUUGCUUAACUUUAUUACGUAGUUGGGCAUAACGUUUGUUUUCAGAAAUGUGAAACUCAUCGAGUGGUUAGUGGUGUUCGUUGAUGUUCCUCAUCAAGUAUCUUAGCGAAACUGUGUUAAUCACUCUAUUUUAUCCUAGACGAACCAGAAAGGGGGCUCAAUGUUCAAAAUACCGGAAUUGACCUUUAACGAGCUUGCUCGUCAACCCUCCUUAACGAGCUUGCUCCCCAACCCUCCUUAUUGAGCUUGCUCAACAACUCUCCUUAAAGAGCUAGCUCACCAACCCUCCUUAACAAGCUUGCCAGCUUACCCUCUGUGACGAGGAAGCGGGCAUAGAUGAGCAGCCAGUAGCGGUACUCCUGGGGGGAUAGCAGAACACGGGCGGAGGCCAGCUGGCACUCCAGGAAGGAGGAGGUGAGGGACUGCUGGAGCUGGUGGGGAGCGGUGGAGAGACGGGAGACCAGACGACCCCCACUAGAGAGAGGGAGAGAGAGACUCCCUCAUUAAUAACCAUCGGUUCAUCUCUAAACAGUAUAAGUAUUUUUGUGACUGAAGAUUGUGUGUGUGUCUGUGUCCUACUUGAGGUUACGACCCUGCAUGACCGCCAGUGGUCCAGAAGGAACAGGUGCGUCAUGGGUAGUCAGACAGCUCCUGAAGUCAGCACACUGAACCAAUGAGUCGGCUUUAUCUGCUAUCAGAGCCCUUUGAGGGAGAGACAGAGACAUUUCACUUUAUACUUUUGUUUGCUCCAAUAUAUCCAUCAUGUGAUUCUUGGGUCUACUGUAAAACCUUUUUCUUGUUAUUGGUCGUUUCUUAAUUCGCGUCCUUUUCUGUACUAAUGUUCUUGUGAAACGUCAUCAGUCGUAGCCCAAGUACUGUUCCAAUUCAAAGUAUGCAUCAAGUCAAGUACUUUCGUAAAACCCAGAAGUGUUCUUGAUGCGAUCUUAAAUUGGCCGUUUCAUCGAGGAUGCAUCGAUGGUGACUUGUGACCGUUAUAUAUCCCAGGAUGCAUUUCGCAUUCCUGUUUUAAAAUAUCAGUAUGUAAGCUAUAAAAUAGGCUAUAUAGGAACAUUUUAAAAGUAUAACAAAGAUGGAGGCCUAUUCAACAUAUUUACAUACUAUUAUUUUAAAAUGAAAGAGAGGUUUUGUUUUCUAUAAUUUGUUAAUAUUGUACAAAUGAGUCGCUGAUAGAGGAAACCCAUCGCAACGGCAAUCCCGGUCGGAUCCAUCUGAUCGCGCGCGCGUGUGCGUGUGUUUUUCUAUUCUAGCUUGUUCGUAAUUCUUAUAUCAAUAGCCUACUCUCCAAUCCUAAUAAUAGGCUACAUAGGAAAAUUGAGAAAAGGCAAUCUCAUACAAUCUUUUUCAAACUACUGAUUGUUUAUAUGUAGGGUACAGCUGGCUUGCCGUGUGAAUACACAUAACUUUUCAUUUAUAUUCAUUCAAAAUAUUAACAUACUAUUUCAAAACUAAAGAUACUGGUGUUUUGUUUUAUAUAAUUUGUUGAUAUUGUUCAGUAGUAAUAUGCCAACAUGAGGCCGUAGCACAGUUAACAGACGAGCUGAGAUGGUGACGUCAUCGAGUCCGCUGCUGUUCCAAUUGCAGGUGCGUACUCCCGUCCUCGGAAGUGUGUACUUGAAGUCCGGACUUGACAAGUGCGAACUUCCAAGUCCGCGAGUCCCUAGUUCACGUACUGGGUAUUGAGGAACGGCCAUUGUCUUCUUUGACUUGGGCCGAGCUGAAGCAGUAGGACUUCCCGUUGGUCAGAGCCACCACCGGUACCCCCUGCUGGGUCAGCAGAGUCUGGGAGACGGUGAUGUCACCAACUAGAGACGGAGAUAAAACAAUCGAGAGACAGUAUGACAUUCCUGUC